AGUUUAUCACAGCUGCUAUCAGACUGCACUGUGGAACUGACCAGUAUGGACGUAAUCAGUAUACCUGUGUCCCUAACGAAGACUUAUCAACUCUUGUAGAAUUCUGCUACAGCAAAAUUGUGGGGCUAUAUCAAAAGGGACAUUGCUUGGUGACGACUGGGAAUGGAGCCUUAGAUCAAAUCAGUUGUCAUCAAUUUAAAACUGGUUGUCCAGUAGAAAAUUUCAGAGGAACUGACCUAUACAAAUUUUCAGAUUGCAGUAGAAUCAACACAGAAAAGCAAUGUUUUUAUGCUGAUCCAUCAUGUCAAAACACG